GCUAUUCUAAAAAUAUAAGAUGUUCAGCAACCAUUCAAUGAUGUUGAAAUUUGUUUUAUUUUUGGUUUUACUUGUUGUGACCGUACAAUCUAAGACUUUAAAAUUCAAAGUUUGUGGACAGGAUUUAACUGAUACAAUACGUAGAUACUGCAGUGGCAGAUAUAAUUCAAGGAUAUCAACUGAUAAGCGAACAUCGGUUGGCA